ACUGUUUCAGUAACACGUGGAUAACCUGCCCUAUGGUGGAGAAUAACCCCGGGAAACUGGGGAUAAUACUCCAUAGAUUAGAGAUACUGGAAUGUUCUUUAAUCGAAAGUUGAGGCGCCAUAGGAUGGAUCUGCGGUCGAUUAGGUUGUUGUUGGGGUAACGGCCCAACAAGCCUGUAAUCGAUACGGGUUGUGGGAGCAAGAGCCCGGAGAUGGAAUCUGAGACACGAUUCCAGGCCCUACGGGGCGCAGCAGGCGCGAAAACUUUACAAUGCAGGAAACUGUGAUAAGGGAACCCCGAGUGCCCGUAUACGCGGGCUGUCCAGGUGUCUAAAAAGCAUCUGAAGAAAGGGCCGGGCAAGACCGGUGCCAGCCGCCGCGGUAAUACCGGCGGCUCGAGUGGUGGCCACUAUUAUUGGGCUUAAAGCGUCCGUAGCUGGACUCUUAAGUCUCUUGGGAAAUCCGCCGGCUUAACCGACGGGCGUCUAAGAGAUACUGAGAGUCUAGGGACCGGGAGAGGUGAGAGGUACUCCGGGGGUAGGAGUGAAAUCCUGUAAUCCCUGGGGGACCACCGAUGGCGAAGGCAUCUCACCAGAACGGCUCCGACAGUGAGGGACGAAAGCUGGGGGAGCGAACCGGAUUAGAUACCCGGGUAGUCCCAGCCGUAAACUAUGCGCGUUAGGUGUACUGGUGACCACGAGUCACUGGGGUGCCGAAGGGAAACCGUGAAACGUGCCGCCUGGGAAGUACGGUCGCAAGGCUGAAACUAAAGGAAUUGGCGGGGGAGCAC
rnacentral:rRNA from 1 species